rnacentral:rRNA from 1 species
AGUAAUGUAUGGGGAUCUGCCCGAUAGAGGGGGAUAACUACUGGAAACGGUGGCUAAUACCGCAUAAUGUCUACGGACCAAAGCAGGGGCUCUUCGGACCUUGCACUAUCGGAUGAACCCAUAUGGGAUUAGCUAGUUGGUGAGGUAACGGCUCACCAAGGCAACGAUGCAUAGCCGACCUGAGAGGGUGAUCGGCCACAUUGGGACUGAGACACGGCCCAG